CUCUUUUCCUGUGGAGCGGUGGCGGCGGCGGUAUGAAGGAGAAGCUUUCAGUGGUGUCCAAUAUGUUGUACAGAAGCAUUAAGGAUGGCGUAUCAACAGUUUUUAAUAAUGGAAAAAAGUUGAGCAUUGUGAUGAAAGAUGUCCUGGCAACUGUACUACAACAGAUAGAGGGAUGCUUGAAGGCUGCUUCUUUGAAGGAAAAUGGUCACAACUGUACAAACAAAUGCUUUAAUUUGUUCAGUGAGUUGGAACGUUUUUGUCAGUGCUGCUUGACAAAUGUGGAUGAUCUGUAACUGGAAGAAAGUGUAACACCUGAAGAGAUGUUCUCGCUUGGAGUGGGACCAUGCUUUUAAAAUCCUGCUGAAACAGUUGUUGAAAUUGUUUAGCAGAUACCGUUAUCAAAAACUGCACGUGAACCAAAAUUACUGUCUCUGCAUACUUAAAAUAAUGCUUCUCUCAAAACAUCAAACUGCCCCCUUUGGGAAGGAUAACAGUGGCAGUAGGGAAAUGAGUGGUGAGCUUCAAUAUAUGAAAAAGAAACAGACUAUUGGCCCUUAGAAAAUGUAAGGGUAUGCAGACUUUGAUACUGAGCAUCUGUAAUAACUCAAAACAAUGGAAGUUGCAGGUAGGCCAUGCAGCAUUGAUACAUAAAUUCAAACUACUGAGUGCUCCUUGAUGAUGUCAUGUGGGAGAUUGAAGGAGGUAGAUGAGGUGGUGUGGAAGCAUCAACAUGAAGCACCUGUAAAAAGAAACGCUUGAAAUUUCAGGUGGCGUGAGGAAGUUGUGGUUACAGAAAAAGCAUAGACUAAAGCUUUCAUUUUCUUCUGCAUCUAGAUGGGGAGAGAAGGAAAAGGGAGUUUUCAUGAGCUGCCAAUUUAGCAUGGAAAGACCAGUAUCGGAACUGGAACUGUGCCCACUGAAGAAGACAUUGGCAGUGUUAUCUGUUCCCAGUGUGGGAGGAAAAGGAAUAGAAACAUUGGAAGUUUUGCUUGCCAGCAGUCACUAACCACACAGUAACAUCUUAACAUUGUAUUUGUUGUAUUAAGCAGAUCAUCUCUCUUCCACUGAGGAAGAGAGGGAUUGUAAAUUGGUUUUCUGAGUAAGUUGCCUUUAAAGACAAAUUAUGCACGGAAGAUGCAAUCCACCUUAAGGUGUGGCUCUUGUACUGCCUUCUCAGGAAUGCUUUAUAAAGGAGGGAAUGUGACAACUGCGUGGUAGCCAAUGAUCAGUAGUGCUGUGGUUACUGAAUGAUUUUGGAAUGUACCGAAAUAAGGAAACAGCCCUGUAGUCUGCAGCCAAAAAUGACAGCAUUGGAUGCUAGCAGUUAACUUUCUCUAGGGAUCUGAAAGAACUUAAUGAAAUGCACUUAUUUCUAAACACCAAAUACUUGAAAGGCCCAUUUUCCUACCAGUGCAGCACCGCAGAAGUGCAGAACACUAAGUAGCAGCAUCUGAAGCAUUGGGAAGAUCAGAAAUAAAGUGCCUGACUACAAAGCCAUACAGUAAUGAUGUGACUGAACUCCAGGAGUGACUUGGCUUACUGCAUAACCUCUGCUUUGGUUUUUCAGUAAUAACCAGCUGCUUUGGCUGGUCAGAGGCUGCUUCUCAGUGAGUUAACUAUGUAAAUCAGUCUAUUGAAUGUAUCAUCAGAAGCUGCAGAAUUUUACUACAGAAAACCUUCCCUUGGUGGCUUUAAUCAGGAUUUAUUACAUGUUAAUGUUGCUGAGAAGGGUAGGUAUUUGCUAUGUUUUGUACAUGCUCUUUCUUGAAUAAAGACGAGGAUGUGGAAAACUUAA